rnacentral:rRNA from 1 species
GUGAGGAAUAUUGGACAAUGGGCGCAAGCCUGAUCCAGCCAUGCCGCGUGCAGGAAGACGCAUCUAUGGUGUGUAAACUGCUUUUGUACGGGAAGAAACACUCCCUCGUGAGGGAGCUUGACGGUACCGUAAGAAUAAGGAUCGGCUAACUCCGUGCCAGCAGCCGCGGUAAUACGGAGGAUCCAAGCGUUCGCCGGAAUCAUUGGGUUUAAAGGGUCCGUAGGCGGGUUAAUAAGUCAGUGGUGAAAGCCCAUCGCUCAACGAUGGAACGGCCAUUGAUACUGGUAGACUUGAAUUACAAGGAAGUAACUAGAAUAUGUAGUGUAGCGGUGAAAUGCUUAGAUAUUACAUGGAAUACCAAUUGCGAAGGCAGGUUACUACUUGUGGAUUGACGCUGAUGGACGAAAGCGUGGGGAGCGAACAGGAUUAGAAACCCUAGUAGUCC